ACCUAGCUAGCACACUCCAGAGAGGCUCCGGGGCCACAGCACCCCUUCCCCCCCCCCCCCCCAAAGUCUCCAGAGCCAUCCAAGUAUUCACCCAGCACUGUGGGGUCCAAAAGCUGAGGGGCAGCUGCACCACUGCCCACCAGGACCGGAGCUCAGGCAGCCUUCUCUGUUUUACCUUAGGCUUGUUGGCUGCUAGCAUCCAGCAUGCACUGAGCACAGAUUUCUAAUGCGGCAGUUUUUCCUUAUGCUGAGCAUGUACUCAAGCACCAUGUAUUCACCCCACACCUCUUUGUGUGCUGCCUUUGGACACUAUCACAGGUGCCCUGUGGCUGCCUCAGUUUGGUGGAAUCCAGGCAUCCUUCUCAUCAGUUCAUUAUCCACUUGCUUACCAGUUACAAUCACGAUGUGGUAUUUAUUACAGUGUCCCAGCAGCUAGGUUUCCUGUUUUUCAGGCUUGUCUUUCAGCCUGCUCAGGCUAUUAUUUUUGCCUGCAACCACACACGGAUGAGGAACGAGUGCUGUCAAUUUGCACUGCAUGCUGACUGAAGGCAGGCUGCAGGGACACUGGGUGCUGCAGAGCUGCAAAGGCUCAUAACAUCACCCCUCCUGCACAGACAUCUCCACCAAAGGAUACAGUAAAGCCUGUCCCUUCCAGGUCUUUGAACAACUGAUAAAACAUGCAUGUUUUCACACAGCCUCUACAUCUCAUUAGCAGUUUGAUUGUAGAAGUACUUAAAAUCAGCACGCAAAGGAAGAGAAGCAAAGUGAGACCUGCAAGAACUGGGAUUUCCCAGCCAAUUAGCCAACCACAUCUCAAGUAGCAGCACUUCAGUCACAUCUCCAACACCUUCAGCAUUUAUUUUCCAAAUACAAGAAGAUACCUUGUCUUCCUCGUGCAAAAUCUUCCUUCCAACUCAGUUUUUCCAUUUCCUACAGUAAAUCGUGCCAUUCAUAAGCACUUUCUCUACAUAUCCCUUCCCGUAUGAAUCACUUGCAAUAGCACUGUAUUAACGUGGAAAUGAAUUUAUUUCUUGUAGUGAUUAUUUGUAAUUAACACGUUUUAUUCCACUCUGUUUGUCACAUUGAAGGGCUUGUCUCAGGCUUGGGUAUUUUCCUGUUCUUCUAUGAAAACAUGAUUUUGUUCUGUUUCUGAAAAUACUGCAGGAUCUGCUCAGUAGCAAAUUAAGGCUGUUUACCCCCAGCUCCACCCCCUCCAUUGCCAGGUUGCCUACACCUUGAGUGUUUAUGCCAGUGAAGCUGGUGGAGAAAUCCUUUCUGCUGCAUGAAACCUUACUCGUUAAUCAGCAAUCUGUUAUAUUUAGCAGUGGUUUCCUCACCGAGUAUGCUCUGCAACGUGUCUCAGAAAGUACCUGUGGUUUCUGUUGGAACUUCACUUUGUUUGCUUGAAUGAAAUUCCAACCUCGCUGAAGUCUGCUGUGCAUGCUCUCCAGUGAGUUGUGGCAAGCUGGAGCAGAGUGAUUUCCAGUGAAGCUUUCGGAUCAGCUGGGAUUGAACUGGCAAGGACGCUACACUGGGGCAGGCGCUGGGGAAUGUGGAUCGCUUAUGGGUCUCUCCAGGGGUAAAAGCAUUCAAUAGGCUGUGCAGGACUGCAAGAGCCAAAGAGAUGUCAGGGACAAUACAAACCCUGGCCGCUCAGCUGGGGCUGAUCUUCAGCCUGUUCCAAAAAACCUGUGAUCUGGCCAGGUCCGUUAUGGCAUCUGAUUGGGAUGCUGUGUUUUGGCAUAACGUGUGGGUGGGUCACGGGGCUGGGGAUGGUGCUGAGUUGGGGUGGGCAAAGAAAAGGUGGAAGGUGCCACUUAUUUCUAUGCACUGCUGGAUCCAAGGCACAAAUACAAAUAGGGGCUCGGCUAUGUCCUAAACAGAGAAAAUUUAACUGGUAGAAAAAUAGGAAGAUCAAAACAGAAGAUGACCACAGCUCUAUGGGAACCAGUUACUAAAUACAUUUGCACUGGGCACAGAACUGUCCCUUAAUUCAGACAGGAAUUAACAGAGUACCAGAAGAAGGAUUUUAUUACUGCAUUGGUUUUAAGCAUAACAAUUACACAGCUUAAAAGCACUUCAGAAGCAAUUAUCACUUGUAACUUGAGUUCUGGAUAAAAUGGAGGCAGAAUAAAAGUCGUCAAUGACAGCUUAAAAACUCCUGUACCAAAAGGUCACUGCUUGCAAUUCGCUUUGCACACAGUCAUGUCAGUGAGGCUAACAUGUUUGUGUUCCCAUGGUCUGCUGCUGCACACAUUUGUGGAUGUGGAUGCUGGCAGAAACCUGCUGAUAGCUUUGCCCCAGCAGUGCUCUCAACCACAGAAGCUCUGAAGUCAAGCACCACUGCUGCCGUUUGAGAGGAGCAAGAGCAGCAAAAGCAUGUUGUCAGAAUUGUCUUGAUGUAGAAACCUCACCCAGCAGAGCUCUAAAGCUGCCGUGUAACUGCACAUUAUGUCCUAACUGCCAAGCAACUACAUCCUUUUACCUACAUUUUCCUCUGGGAAAGAGGUCCUUGCAGGGAUGGAGGCUUGUGGGUGCCAGGUCCCAUGCCUGCCUGGUGGUGUGCUGUGUGCCAGCAUGCUGACGUGUGUCUGCUUUGUAAGCUCAGGCAAAGCAACCAGGAAACCUGGGUCCUGUGCAACCAGUGAGCCUGCUACCAUAUUCUUUUAAAAUAUUGUGGUUCCAAGUUUGCUAAAAGGACUAACUCUCACCAUUCCAACAUGCUGACAUACUAAUGCUGAUUUUUAAUCUCUGCAGACCAGAUAAGGCACAUGAGCCCGGGUAACCAGGAGGAGCUCCAACCUUCCGUGCCGAGAUCAGCAUUUCUGGUCUGUAGAGCACACACCCAGCAGCAAUAGCUGCGGUGGACCUGGGGCAGAGCCGAAGGCAAGGCUGCCACAUGCUGCUUAGCUGAUAGCCACACGGGCGCACGCUGUCACAAAAGGUGUCCUCAUUUUCAGGAGUGCACAUUUUCUUUCCAAAGGGGUACAGACGGAGCUGUUAAUUAUGUCAUUUUCUUGCUAAAGUCAGUGGGAAAACUGGGAAGUUAUUUCACACAAAGCAACGCAUCGAGCCCCCAGUUCUGGAAAUGCACAAUGCCAUUCUCAAGCUAUUCUGUGAAACAUUUGUUGUUAGCCAAAUUAGUGGUUGCGAGCGCAAGGCAGGAACUCAGUGGGCCUCUGAUGCAACAGGAAUGCACUGGAGUUCAAACAACCUGUUGUCAUCUAUUGCAUUCCUGCAGGGAAGCAGUAGGAAUCACUGACUCAGAGCUACUUACAGAGGUAAAUACUGGGUCACCACACACUCAGCAAUGAUAACACGAACAGGAGAAAAAUACAGAAUGGGUACGACAGAAACGACAGAAAAACACAGUGCUUCUGUAGGCAGUGAAAUAGCAAAGGAGUUGCUGUGUUGUGACGGCUGUGCUCCAGGAGCACUGCUCAGAGAAGGUCUGUAAUUGUUUCUUACAGUCUUCCCUCUGCAGCUGGAGCUGAAAAACAGCUGUAGCAGUUGCACUGUGAAACUGGACUCAAAGGAGAGAGAAAAAACCUGUGUGCUCUGUCUUACUCUGUCACCCGGUGGGUGGAAUAAAACUGUGUGGCUCAUAGGCAUGUUCAGGACGACAGCUUGGCACCUUGAAACUAGAUCAGUUGGGCAUUUGCUACACAUGAGGUGAGAUGAGAACAGAUUCCUCCUGAAGAUUUUGUUAGGUCUUCUUUGAUCCACUCUAGGAUUUCCCUUUCAUCACAGAGAAAAAGAGGCCGAGGCAUUUCUGGAAGGCAGAUAAACUGCUGCAACUGCUGAAAUUCCAACUUAGGUCCACUUAAUGACAAAAAGACAUCUUCACAGGCACACACGUGUAGGUGGGUUGGAAUAGUAUUAUUAUCAGUAAUCACUGUGUUACUCAUCAAGUGGAAGAAGUGCAUGCCAUAGGUAACACACAUGGGUUUUGAUUAAGCUGAGUGUGUGGCAGCACGAGAGGGAGCCUAUAAACAGCAGUGGAGUCAACUCUUUAAAAGGAUGUUGCUGGAUUCAUACCUGCACAGAUACCAAAGUGCCCAGAAGAAACAGCUUCAUUCAGAUCAUUCACUUAAAACACUUUCUGAAUCCCAUUUGCGUGGGAAUGUCAAACUAAUUCGACUGUCCGGCAUUAAUCCACGUGGCUGUGAGGCUUGGGAUGUCCCACACAUCUGGGCUACAGGGCCUCAUGCACCAGGAGAUCUGUGCUCUCAAAGAAAUAAUCAAACAACAGGCUCCUCAUGACAGAGAGCUAACCUCUGAGCUUCUACCAAUCAACACACAAAAAAAUAAAUGCAUGAGAAUAAAGUUAUUUAGGAUAAGGGAAGCUA